rnacentral:lncRNA from 1 species
CUGGUCUGUGCCUCCGUCCGUUCGUGCAUCCGUUCACUUCAAGUUAAAGUUUGUGGUCAAGGUAAUUUUUGAUGAAGUUGAAGUCCAAUCAAUUUGAAACUUAGUACACAUGUUCCCAAUGAUAUGAUCUUUUUAAUUUUAAUGCAAAUUAUAGUUUUGACCUCAAUUUCAUGGCCCACUGAACAUAGAAAAUGAUAGUGCGAAGUUCAGGUUAAAGUUUUUGGUCAAGGUAGUUUUUGAUGAAGUUAAAGUUACAUCAACUUGAAACUUAGUACACAUGUUUCCUAUGAUAUGAUCUGUCUAAUUUUAAUUCCAAAUUAAAGUUUUGACCCUAAUUUCACGGUCCACUAAACAUAGAAAAUGAUAGUGCGAAUGGGGCAUCCGUGUACUAUGGACACAUUCUUGUUUAUAUUUGUUCUUGGUUUUAUUUCCAAGAUUUAACAUAUAGAUAGGUACUUUGAAAUAAAGAAUAACUUUUGGGGAAAUGUACUGACCACUAUCGCGUGGGAGUAUCAGGCACAAAGCCCUAUAUUCGUGGCGCACGCGGUGUGUUGCCACGAUGUCAUGAACGCAAUAGUUUGAAUCUCGCUGAGGGGAGAACAAAAAUUUAAGAAUGCAAAAUUGUUUGGCUUAAUUUGAGACGAAUUUUAUACCUAUAUAUAUCAAUAAGGUUUUUGGUUUAGUUUCUAAAUUUGAGACGGGUUAUAUCAAUAUGGUUUUUGGUUUAUGAUUGUAUUUAUAAGAAUGUGAAAGCAAUGUUUUAUAUUUGAAUGUAAUUCAUUUACUGGUUGACAACUCACACAUAAUAAAUGUCAAAUUAUAUUGUUUACUUCAUGAUUGUGACACGAGUGCACUUAGUCUAGUACCUUGCAGCAAGAUCACCGUAUUACUCUACUGGCAAAUAUUUAUGUUGUAAUGUUACAUUACUGUUUCAUGUUAGGGUGAAGGUCGGCGCCUGUAAAAACGUUUAAACCUGCUGCAUUUGUAUGCACUUGUCCUAAGUCAGGAGCCUAUUCAGUGGUUUUCGUUUGUUGAUGUGAUUCAUAAGUGUUUUUCGUUUCUCUUUUUUAUAUAGAUUUUACCGAAGGUUUUGCUGUUUGAAUUGUUUACACUAGCCAUUUUGGGGCCUUUUAUAGUUUGCUGUUCGGUGUUGGACAAGGCUCCGUGUCAAAGGUCGUACUUUGACCUAUAGUUGUUUACUUUGUACACAUUGCGACUUUGGAUAUAGAGUUGUCUCGUUGGCACUUAUACCAUAUUUUUUUAAUUUCUAUAAAAAUAAGGAGAUGUGGUAUAAUUGCCAAUGAUAAUACUAUAAACCAAAGUUCAAAUGAAGUGAAUGUAAGCAGUUAUAUAUGCCACUGUUCG